rnacentral:rRNA from 1 species
UACGAAGGGGGCUAGCGUUGUUCGGAAUCACUGGGCGUAAAGGGCGCGUAGGCGGCCGAUCAAGUCGGGGGUGAAAGCCUGUGGCUCAACCACAGAAUUGCCUUCGAUACUGUUUGGCUUGAGACCGGAAGAGGUUAGUGGAACUGCGAGUGUAGAGGUGAAAUUCGUAGAUAUUCGCAAGAACACCAGUGGCGAAGGCGGCUGACUGGUCCGGUUCUGACGCUGAGGCGCGAAAGCGUGGGGAG